GCGGCGGUAGCUCAGCCUGGUUAGAGCGCUCGGGGGCGGACCGGGAAGUCCCGGGUUCAAAUCCCGGCCGCCGCA
rnacentral:tRNA from 2 species